GUUUAAGAGCUAUGCUGGAAACAGCAUAGCAAGUUUAAAUAAGGCUAGUCCGUUAUCAACUUGAAAAAGUGGCACCGAGUCGGUGC
rnacentral:guide_RNA from 2 species